ensembl:lncRNA
AGCCUCUACAUCGCUGGACUCUGCUGGUGCCAACGCUACAGCUAUUAACACCUCUACAUCGCUGGACUCUGCUGGUGCCAACGCUACAGCUAUUAACACCUCUACAUCGCUGGACUCUGCUGGUGCCAACGCUACAGCUAUUAACAGUAAGUGAGCAGUCAGAGGUCAGUCUUCACUAUUCAGACAUCCAAACACAUGCUAACCCCCC